rnacentral:rRNA from 1 species
AAAAAACGGUGGUAAUGCCGGAUGCUCCAGUUGAUCGCAUGGUCUUCUGGGAAAGCUUUCGCGGUAUGGGAUGGGGUCGCGUCCUAUCAGCUUGACGGCGGGGUAAACGGCCCACCGUGGCUUCGACGGGUAGCCGGCCUGAGAGGGCGACCGGCCACAUUUGGGACUGAGAUACGGGCCCAGACUCCUACGGGGAGGCAGCAGUGGGGAAUAUUGCACAAUGGGCGCAAGCCUGAUGCAGCGACGCCGCGUGAGGGAUGGAGGCCUUCGGGUUGUAAACCUCUUUUAUCGGGGAGCAAGCGUGAGUGAGUUUACCCGUUGAAUAAGCACCGGCUAACUACGUGCCAGCAGCCGCGGUAAUACGUAGGGUGCAAGCGUUAUCCGGAAUUAUUGGGCGUAAAGGGCUCGUAGGCGGUUCGUCGCGUCCGGUGUGAAAGUCCAUCGCUUAACGGUGGAUCCGCGCCGGGUACGGGCGGGCUUGAGUGCGGUAGGGGAGACUGGAAUUCCCGGUGUAACGGUGGAAUGUGUAGAUA